rnacentral:lncRNA from 1 species
GCGCAGUGAGUGCCUCCCGUCUCUUCUACCCGAACCCCCCCUUCCCCCCAAGCAGAGAGACCCCAGCAGCAGCAGCAGCUGAUGAUGAAGAGGGAGGCAGUGGCAGAGGGGGGGCACCUUUUAUUUCUAUUUUUAAAGGGACAGGACACUAAUUCUACCCCACUUCAACCUUGAAUUGAGGGGGGUGGGGGGAAGGUGGCUGAGUUCCUUCCCCCACCCUCCAGCCCUGAGCCCAGAGAGGGGGAUUGAGCCUGAGAGAGAAGGAGAAGGAGUUUCUUCUUCUUCGAAAAUCCCCAUCCACGACUCCUACCCCCUCACCCCUCCAACUCGCCUCCCUCCCGAGCCCCCUCCACCCUCCUCUUUGGCCGUGAGAGGAGGAGAGAAAGAAACCAAAAGCCUCUUAGCAACACAGACCCUUUGCUGCUGCUGCUGCUGCUGCUGCUGUUGCUGCUGCUGCUGCUGCUACUGCUGCUGCUGCUGCUGCUGCUGCUUGGCCCUGGCUGGAGACAUCUCACUACACCCAGGAGCAGCCACUUCCCCAGCUCUCCUCCUCCUCCUUCGCCUCCUCCUCCUCCACUCCCCCCCUUUAUUACCCUUUGUGUCAUCCUCCACAGCUCCAGGGAAGGCACUCAAAAGUGGGGGGCAGGAAAGAUGUACAUUGAAGAUGUCAGUUUCUACAUGUGGGAAGUAGACAUUGAAGGCUUUAUGGUUUACAGACAAGAUCUUUAGAAGUUAAGCACUAAAGGACCAAGGAAAUAAAUACCAGAAAUCAAGAGCACAGACUAUUUUCCUUCAUCAAUCCAUAGAACCCUAAUACUUCUCUUCCAUCAAACACAGAGGAAUGACCACCAUGACAGAUGGCAACAGAUGAUGUCAACAAUUUUUUGGAGGCAAGCAAUGAAAUAUUUCUACUAUGAGUUUUCUGUUAUUAAUUAUGUAGAAACAAAUAGAAUUAUAUUGGGUUUUAAUUGAAAAUGAAAAGUAUUAUUUACCAUCAAAAUUUUUAUGUACAUAGCUAUUUCUUUUCUUUUCUUUCUCUCUCUCUCUUUUAACACUAUUGCAUGUCAGAAAUUACAUUAAGAUGCAUUUGCCUUUACCUCUGGAGUAACAGAUAGAAUAAAGCUAUCUUAAAUACCUAAAUACAGAACAAGGAUUUAAAUAACAGAAAUUAAGUACCUAUAUUUGAAAACAGGGCUUUUUUAUAUCUCUCUUGGACACCUAUAUAACUGUAAAUUUAGAGUUAGUCAUACUAUUUAUGAAUUUUAUAUAGUUAAAGGUAUUCCAGCAUUUUUCCUCCCUUUUCUUUAACAACUAAUCUAAAGUGCUCCAAAAUCCUGGGAAGCCAUCCCUUUACAACUCUUACAGCUUUAUAAUUUGUGAUAAUUCUGCAUCAAAAUAUUUGCUUGAACUUUUAGUUAAUUCUAUGACAACUCCUAUUGCCCCUGAAAGAGCAGUUGGGCAAGGAUUGUGGACCACAAUGCCACCUUCAAAUUUCAAAUUAAUUACAUUACCUUUAAAAGAAAAGCUCACUUGGAAAGAAAUUGACCAUGUAUUUUUUUAAAUGUUUAAGGAAUCUGCCUUCUUUUCUGCAUUCAUGAAAAGUAAAGACCUAAGUAGAUGAAAAUAAAGUUAAAUGAAAAUAUAAACUUUUAAAAAUUUACAUUGAAUUCACUAAAAUGUAAUCUUUCAGGGGAUUUUUUACGAGGAAACUAUAUAUAUAUAUGCUUAGAAUUUUUUAUUUAGUGUUAAUUCAACUUAUUGACCUAAGGUCAUCCAUAAAAACGUGUCUGCUUUUUAAGUUUCACAUAAGAGGAAUGCUUUCUAUAAAUAAAGGAGAUGAUAAAUGUUUAAAAAGCCCAGUGUAGAGAUUCUGAGUUUUCUUUCAGUAACUAGAGUCAAAAUUAAUUCUUGCUUUUCUGUUGGGGAAAAUUUCAUCUAAUUACAUUCAAUUUAUUCUGCAACUUUUUGGACAGCAAAUCCUGAUGGCCAAAGAAAAAGCAGCUGUGUUGCUCUUGCCUUGCAAUUAUAACAAUAGUAUUAUUAUGCAGUCACCAGAGUUUGUGGAACCAUGAAGUGGUUAUAUCCACUGGCUGUUUUCUGGCAGAGGUACACCUAAACCUUUCUGAACUCCUGAUAAUGUAUGCCUUUUGCUUGUAAGGAUCUUCAAAGAAAUAGAUUCCACUGCUUCCUUCAGCAAGCCAAUUUAGUAUAACGGCUCUCAGAAGCAGAAAAUUCUUUCUUAUAACCCUGUGUGCAUCUUAUUAACUGUUUCUAAAACUUAUUUUGCUAGGAUUGCAUUUUAAAUAUUAUUUAAAUAUUGUCUUAGGUUGGUAUAAUCCACUUAAGUAUUUUUAAAAGCUACUAAAAAUUGACCAUUGUUUAAUUAGUAGAAAUAUUCUCAUAAACCAUGCUUCCUCAUAAGUAGUCUACAUUUGUCCCUAGGUAUCUGCAGGGGAUUGAUUCCAGAACCCCCAUGAAUACCAAAAUCCAGGGAUGUUCAAGCCCCUUAUAUGAAAUGGUGCAGUAUUUGCAUGUAACUCACGUAUAUCCUCCUUAUACUUUAAAUCAUCUUGAUAUUACUUAUGCUACCUAAUAUGUAAAUAGUUGUUAUACUUUAUUUUUUUACUCUGAUUAUUUUUUAUUGUUGUCAUGUUAUUUUUAUUGUCGUUUUUCUGAAUAUAUUUGGUCCAAGAUUGCUUGAAUUUUUAGAUGCAAAACCUGAAGUACAGAAGACUGACUAUACUAUCAAAUUUCUUUUUCUUACGUAAACUUUUCUAACUCAUCCACAUAUAUCUUAUUUUGACCUUCAGUUUUUCUUUAACCAGUAGAAUAUACCAGUGGUAGAUAGCUUUAUUGAGAAUCAAGCCCUUUGUUCUUUAUUAAUUUUAUUUGUGACCAUGUAAUUAAUAAGACACAGAUAUUUGUCAUUCUAAUCCAAAAUGUUAUUUCAUUUUUAUUUUCCAUGUUUUUAGGGAAAGUUAUACUGGUAAAAACUUCUAGAGAGGCAGUUGAACAUAGGUAUGAUUUAUAAGAAUGCUACAGGCAUACCUCAGAGAUAUUGUAGGUAUGGUUCCAGACUAUCACAAUAACGCAAGCCAUACAUUUUUUUCCCAGUGCAUAUGCAAGUUAUCUUUGCACUAUUCUUUAACCUAUUCAGUGUGUAAUUGCAUUAUGUCUUUAAAAAACAAUGCAUAUACCUUAAUUUUAAAAUAGUUUGCUAAGAAAAAGGGAGGUUCUUUCAGGACUUGGGGGGACAGGGUCUCAUUCUCUCUUCCAUGCUGGAGUGCAGUGGUGCAUUCAUGGCUCACUGCUGCCUCAACUUCCUGGGCUCAAGUGAUUCUCCCACCUCAGCUUCCCAAAUAGCUGGGAAUACAGGCAUGCAUCGUCACACCAGGCUAAUUUUUAUAUUUUUUGUAGAGAUAGGGUUUUGCCAUGUUGCCCAGGCUGGUCUUGAACCCCUGGGCUCAAGCAAUCUGCCUACCAUUGCCUCCCAAAGUGCUAGAAUUACAGGC